GGCGGCCCGGCGCGGGGCUCUCAUAGUGCUGGAGGGCGUGGACCGCGCCGGGAAGAGCACGCAGAGCCGCAAGCUGGUGGAAGCGCUGUGCGCCGCGGGCCACCGCGCCGAACUGCUCCGGUUCCCGGAAAGAUCAACUGAAAUCGGCAAACUUCUGAGUUCCUACUUGCAAAAGAAAAGUGACGUGGAGGAUCACUCGGUGCACCUGCUUUUUUCUGCAAAUCGCUGGGAACAAGUGUAAAAACCAUUGCACAUUGCUCCCUCUGCCCUUGCCACUUUCCUUCCUCCUGAGAUUCAGUGAACGCAGCACUCGAUUCUGAAUGACAAUGACAGUAGUGCUGGGCCUGAGGUUCUUCUAUUUAGCAGUCCUGUGGGCAGAGGUGGUGAAGCGCCCUAGUUCCCAAAGGGCGCUAAUGAAUGCUAUUUCGUCCUCCUGCUCCCCACACCCCAUAAUUAAUAGACUUCAGUUUUUCGGGUUUUUUUAGACGGAGUUCUGCUCUGUCGCCCGGCAGAGGUGCGAUCUUGGCUCACUGCAACCUCCGCCUCCCAGGUUCAAGCGAUUCUCCUGCGUCAGCCUCCCGAGUAGCUGGGACUACAGGCGCGCCCCAGCAUGCUCAGCUAAUUUUUGCAAUUUUAAUUUACUUUAUUUUUAAAUUUAAUUUUUGUAUUUUUAGUAGAGACAGGGUUUCACCAUGUUGGCCAGGAUGGUCUCUCUUGACAUUGUGAUCCACUCACCUCGGCCUCCCAGAGUUCUGGGAUUACGCAGGUGUGAGCCACCGCACCUGGCCCUUUUUUUUUUAUUUUUAAGACAAGGUAUUGCUCUGUGGCCCAGGCUGGAGUGCAGUGGCACCCGAUCAUGGCUCACUGCAGCCUCAACUUCCUAGGCUCAA
rnacentral:sRNA from 1 species